rnacentral:lncRNA from 1 species
AGCUCUGCAGGCGAGACUGGCGGCGCGGGCAGCACCAGACUCGUCUUGGAAGUGUUGGAGCACUAAAGGAGAAGAGGCCUCGAGUGUUCAAGGCAUAAAAGCAGGAACGCAGCAAGACUCCCAGGCACAUCAGAGGAAAGGUACCUGACUGCAUUUGGAAAUCUGAUCCUGAGACACAUCUGAAUGUCCUGUGUUCAAAAGAGGGGAUCCAGUUAACAGAGAUCUGUUGGCACAUUACUCCUGAAGUGGUUCUUCCGU